ensembl:misc_RNA 7SK 7SK RNA
GGAUGUGAGGACAAUCUGGCUGUGAUCUGUCAUUUCAUUGACCAUCAGGGUUGAUUUAGCUGAUCUGGCUGGCUGGAGGGCUUCCUUUCCCUCCCUCCCUCCAUGUGUGUCCCUUCUGGAGCUGUGUGCUAGGUUGAAGAGGACGACCACCCCUUAUAGAGCAGGAUCAUUGGGAUAGAGAAGUAGCUAUGCUCCCCUGCUAGAACCUCCAAACAAUAACAUCAAUAAAUGUGAUCAUAUUGCCAUGAAGAAGUUGUUGGGAUUUCUACCUGUGUCCCUGAGUGCAAGGGUUUCUUGGU